rnacentral:rRNA from 1 species
UACAGAGGUGGCAAGCGUUGUUCGGAAUUACUGGGCGUAAAGGGCGCGUAGGCGGCCAUCUAAGUCAGACGUGAAAUCCCCCGGCUUAACCUGGGAACUGCGUCUGAUACUGGACGGCUCGAGUAUGGGAGAGGGAUGUAGAAUUCCAGGUGUAGCGGUGAAAUGCGUAGAUAUCUGGAGGAAUACCGGUGGCGAAGGCGGUUCUCUGGGCAUUACCUGACGCUGAGGAGCGAAAGUGUGGGGAGCGAACAGG